UUCCUGUGGCUCAGUUGGCAGAUCACUGCGCUAACAACGCAAAGGUUGUGGGUUCAAAUCUCAUGAAAGCAGGAAA